rnacentral:pre_miRNA from 1 species
UAUAAUAUUUGACUCUUCGUCUUAUUUAAAAAAUUUACGAUUAAUAGUUUUAUUUUUAUUAGAUAAUAAAUCAUAAAUAGUACUUUAAGUGUGGCUAUUUUUUAAAAAUUUCUUAAAAUUUUUUCAAAUAAGACGGAUGAUCAAACGCUGGAUACGAAAAUCAAAG